rnacentral:tRNA from 1 species
CCCAUUUUAGCAAACUAAUGCAAUAGAUUUAGAAUCUUUAAAACUCUUU